CACGUAGGGGACGAGCGUUGUCCGGAUUCAUUGGGCGUAAAGCGCGCGUAGGCGGCUCGGAAAGUCGGUCGUGAAAUGCCGGGGCUCAACCCCGGGACUGCGUCCGAUACUCCCGAGCUGGAGGCAGGUAGGGGAGAUCGGAAUUCCUGGUGUAGCGGUGAAAUGCGCAGAUAUCAGGAGGAACACCGGUGGCGAAGGCGGCUCUCUGGGACGGUACUGACGCUGAGACGCGAAAGCGUGGGGAGCGAACAGG
rnacentral:rRNA from 1 species